rnacentral:rRNA from 1 species
CCUACGGGCGGCAGCAGUGAGGAAUAUUGGUCAAUGGACGAGAGUCUGAACCAGCCAAGUAGCGUGAAGGAUGACUGCCCUAUGGGUUGUAAACUUCUUUUAUAUGGGAAUAAAACGUUCCACGUGUGGGAUUUUGUAUGUACCAUAUGAAUAAGGAUCGGCUAACUCCGUGCCAGCAGCCGCGGUAAUACGGAGGAUCCGAGCGUUAUCCGGAUUUAUUGGGUUUAAAGGGAGCGUAGGUGGAUUGUUAAGUCAGUUGUGAAAGUUUGCGGCUUAACCGUAAAAUUGCAGUUGAAACUGGCAGUCUUGAGUACAGUAGAGGUGGGCGGAAUUCGUGGUGUAGCGGUGAAAUGCUUAGAUAUCACGAAGAACUCCGAUUGCGAAGGCAGUUCACUGGACUGCAACUGACACUGAGGCUCGAAAGUGUGGGUAUCAAACAGGAUUAGAUACCCUAGUAGUC